rnacentral:rRNA from 1 species
GUCGGUACUAUCGAUUAAAUUAUUUAGUGAGAUCUUCGGAUGCGAUCACAGCAAUGCAUUUCAUAUCUUGCAGAUAUCUCGCAAAAGUUGACCCAACUUCAUUAUUUAAAGAGAGUAAAAGGC